GACGAACGCUGGCGGCGUGCCUAAUACAUGCAAGUAGAACGCUGAGGCUUGGUUCUUGCAGCGAGCGCAUGAGUUGCAAACGUGAGAGUCACGUGUGGAUCAUCUGCCUGGUAGCGGGGUAUAACCAUUGAAAACGGUAGCUAAUACCGCAUAAGCGUCUAUUUUGCAUUGCGUUUGCGUAAGAUUUGCCAUUGCAGCACGACCAGAUGGACUCGCGUCUUAUUAGGUAGGUGGUGAGGUAACGGCUCACCAAGGCAACGAUACAGAGCCGAACUGAGAGGGUGGUCGGCCGCACUGGGACGGAGACACGGCCCAUAGUGCCUCGGGAGGCAGCAGGAGGGCAUCUUCGGGCAGGGACGGAAGUCUGACCGAGAAACGCCGCGGGAGUGAAGAAGGUUGUCGGGUCGGAAAGCACGGUUGUAAGGGUAGAACGAGUGUGAGAGUGUGAAGUACACAGUGUGACGGUAUUUGACAAGAAAGCGACGGCUAACUACGUG
rnacentral:rRNA from 1 species